rnacentral:rRNA from 1 species
UACGAAGGUGGCAAGCGUUACUCGGAAUUACUAGGCGUAAAGGGCAGGUAGGUGGUUCGGUAAGUCUGUUGUGAAAUCUCCCGGCUUAACUGGGAGAGGUCAACAGAUACUGCCGGGCUUGAGUAUAGGAGAGGGUACUGGAAUUCCCGGUGUAGCGGUGAAAUGCGCAGAGAUCGGGAGGAACACCAAUGGCGAAAGCAGGUACCUGGACUAUUACUGACACUCAGCUGCGAAAGCUAGGGGAGCAAACAGG